UCCUACGGGACGCAGCAGUGGGGGAUAUUGCACAAUGGGGGAAACCCUGAUGCAGCGACGCCGCGUGUGGGAAGACGGUCUUCUGGAUUGUAAACCACUGUCCCCAGGGACGAAAAUGACGGUACCUGGGGAGGAAGCUCCGGCUAACUACGUGCCAGCAGCCGCGGUAAUACGUAGGGAGCAAGCGUUGUCCGGAAUUACUGGGUGUAAAGGGAGCGCAGGCGGCUUGGCAAGUCUGAUGUGAAAGGCUGGGGCUCAACCCCAGGACUGCAUUGGAAACUGUUAGGCUGGAGUGUCGGAGAGGG
rnacentral:rRNA from 1 species